AUUGAACGCUGGCGGCAUGCCUUACACAUGCAAGUCGAACGGCAGCACGGGGGCAACCCUGGUGGCGAGUGGCGAACGGGUGAGUAACAUAUCGGAACAUACCCUAGAGUGGGGGAUAACGUAGCGAAAGUUACGCUAAUACCGCAUACGAUCUAAGGAUGAAAGUGGGGGGAUCUUCGGACCUCAUGCUCAUGGAGUGGCCGAUAUCUGAUUAGCUAGUUGGUGAGGUAAAGGCUCACCAAGGCGACGAUCAGUAGCUGGUUUGAGAGAACGACCAGCCACACUGGAACUGAGACACGGUCCAGACUCCUACGGGAGGCAGCAGUGGGGAAUUUUGGACAAUGGGGGCAACCCUGAUCCAGCAAUGCCGCGUGAGUGAAGAAGGCCUUCGGGUUGUAAGCUCUUUUGUCAGGGGAUAAAUUUACCAUGCGUGGAAACUGAAGGUACCUGGUGAA
rnacentral:rRNA from 1 species